rnacentral:misc_RNA from 1 species
GAUGUGUUGGGUGGGGAGAAGUUCCUGUGCUUCCUUCCAUUACUGCUGCAAAUCAGACAGUUGCUGUUACAAAGGCUUGAGAGGCAUGGCAAUUUCUGCGUUCCAGCUCGCCUAUGGUUUUGAAUUUGAUGCUCAAUGAGAUUGGUAGGAUUCUUCCAGGAACUGGAUUUGCUUCUGUUAGGGUUGGAGUUGAAAUGGCAUUGAU